rnacentral:rRNA from 1 species
UUAAUAUAUAAAAUUUAUAAUAUUAGAGUAGUAAUAGUUAUAUGCUUGAAACUUAAAGAAUUUGGCGGUAUUUUAGUCUUUUUAGAGGAAUCUGUUUUAUAAUCGAUAAUCCACGUUUUAUCUUACUUAAAUUUGUUUAAUUUGUAUAUCGUUGUCAUCAGAAUAUUUUAGAAAAAUUAAUUUUCUAAAUUUUUAAUUUAUAAAAAUGUCAGAUCAAGGUGCAGUUUAUAUUUAAGUAAACAAUGGAUUACAAUAAAUUUAUUUAUACGAAUUUUAAAUUGAAAUAUUUAUUUGAAGGGGGAUUUAAUAGUAAAAUAAUUAAUUAUAGUUAUUUGAUUUUAGCUCUAAAAUAUGC